GUAUGUGCAUUUGUCUAUCUUUGUUCUGCCUUUAUGGUAUAUGUUCUNCCUAUGAAUCGUAUAUAUUGUUGGUGUUUUAGUUUUCGUAUNAGCUUCUAGUUAAAAUUACNAUGAUAUGAAACAAUAUGAUAUUAUGCAAUAAGAUGCGAUGAAUUUAAGUACAUAUUAUUAUAUUAUGCAAACAAGCUGUGCUAAAUGAAUGUGCUGAUAGUUAAGGCUCAUUAUUGCACCGNNCAACCCAUUACUAAGCAAUGAAAGGUUUCUUCAAUGUUGUUCAGUGGUUAAUGUCAUGAAAUAAGUUGAAUUGUCCAUAUCUACCCUGCGUACCUUUACCAGCUCUAAUUGAAAUUAUUGAANAAAAUGUGACAGUGUUCUUUCCCCAAUAAUUCAAUUGUUAGUGAUAAGAUGUAACAUAACUUCUAAAUGUUGAACGUGNUAAGGUUGUUAAGUUAGUGAUGAAAAUUAAAGGACAAUAGUUAUGAUGGUGCUCAUAUGGAAUCAGGAAAAAGAUGGACCCCCAUUACAGUUGCUUUCUUCAGUACCUUCUUAGAAUCAAAUUUGGGACUAUAAUGUAGUAG
rnacentral:lncRNA from 1 species